CAGCAGCCACGGGAAAACGUAGGCAGCAAGCGUUGUUCGGAGUUACUGGGCGUAAAGGGUGUGUAGGCGGUUGUUUAAGUUUGGUGUGAAAUCUCCCGGCUCAACUGGGAGGGUGCGCCGAAUACUGAAUGACUAGAGUAUGGGAUGGGAGAGUAGAAUUCCUGGUGUAGCGGUGAAAUGCGUAGAUAUCAGGAGGAAUACCGGUGGUGUAGACGGCUCUCUGGACCAUUACUGACGCUGAGACACGAAAGCGUGGGUAGCAAACAGGAUUAGAUACCCCUGUAGUCCCUGUCUCUUAUAA
rnacentral:rRNA from 1 species